CUUCUUCAUUUAUUAAGGUUCUGAUAUCUACUUCCGGCAUGCCAACAAUCACUUCUUGUUUACAUAUUAUAUUGCUUACUGGGCCAAUACAGUCAAGCCUAAACAGCUUGUGAACAUACAAUCUCUUAUAUUUACAUUUGUACAAUUUCUACAACCAGCUCCUCAUAGCAUUCUCCUCAGAUCACUACAACAUAAUAAACAAAGUAGCAGCACACAAGAAGCGUGAUAUUUGGUAGAUCAAAUAUCAGAAUGGAUAUGUAUACACAUUCAACCCAAAGGAUGAGAUAACUAAAUGUAAUGCUUCUUAGGGUAUGUUCACAAUACAGAACAAUGAAUUGUUGCUUUUUUCCAUGAAUUUUCCUGCAGAAAAGAGAGCCCAUUGACUUUUAACCACUGGAUUCCGCCAUCAUUUUAAAUCCACGUCGGGGAAACCCUAUAGCAAGACUUCCGCUGUGUGAACGCAGCCAAGGAAAAUAAAUUGAAGUGAAUGCGAUGCAACAGGGAACUCCUUGUGGAACUCCUUGCGGAUUCUGCCUUGAAUUUCUGUAGUGUGAACGAGCCCUUAUCUACCCAGGUAGUGUCAAACCUACCCAAUCAGUGCUGCUUUUCUGCCAGACUGGAGUCAUAAGAACAGCAGAUCGUACCUAAUGUUGUUGAGCUUCUGUACAUCCUAUAGAAAAAUAAAUAUAUAAUGGAACGAGCCAGUAAAUAUUUUAAGAUAUGGAAGAAAUAGUGAACCUUAGCACAAAUAUUAGGAAACUGCAUUUAUAUCAAUUCCUUCAACUGGAAGUGGGACAGUUUUGACCAAUAGGUGGAAACAGAUUAAUGGAAAACAAAUCCCCUACAUAAUCUAAAAUAGGUUUAUUAAGAGUUUACAGCUCCUGCAUUUAGUCAGCGGCGAGAGGAAUAAGGUUAUUAUGUUUGUUAAAAACAGCUCUUUUCUUUAUUUUACUGUUUAUAGGGAGAACAGCCUCAGAAAUUCAGUACCCCUGCUCUCCCCUAUUAGGCCAGGUUCACACCACGUUUUUGCAAUACAGUUCCCGUCUCAGGUUUUUGAUAAAAAAAACGGAUUCCUCAAAACCUAACAAAACUGUUUCAAAACGUGUACAAAUUUUAAUCCGUAUACGGUUUGAAAAAUUAUGUCCGGAUGCACUAAAAGUAUACGGUUUGAAAAAUUAUGUCCGGAUGCACUGUUUUUUUAAAGAAAAAAACGUAUGUGUCUUUAACUUUCCAGUCCAUUGUGAAUAAAGUUUCACUUGUUUGAUUGAAAUUCCAAGAAAAAUAAACUGUGCAAAGUCAAAAACCGUAUGGUGAAAAACGGAUGGAACCGUACGCACAUACGGUUCUUUAUAGUCCCCAUUGACUCCCAUGUUAAAAAUAUGUUUCAAUAUGGUUUUUCACCUGGACCAAAAACCGUGGUAGGCUACGGUUUUGGGUACAGGAAAAAACUGACAAAACCGUAAAGGAUGCAUCUUUUGGCAUACGGUUUUCAAUGGAUAGGCAAUGCAUAUGGUUUUCAAUACAGUUCCAUACGGUUUUCAAAUUGAAAACGUGUAUGGGAACUGUAUUGCAAAAACGUGGUGUGAACCCAGCCUUAGUCUAAUCCAGUGUUUCCCAAACAGAGUGUUUCCAGCUUUGGGAAACACUGGUCUAAUCUCUCAGGCUUAAAUAGUCAGUACAUUAGUUAAUAGUUAUAAAUAGUUUAAAAGACUGCUGUAAAUAGAAUUACAUAAUAUAUAAAGAAAAUGUUACUAUAUGUAAAACUUCACUUUAGGAACCAGAUAACCUAGUUCUGACCUAUUAUAC